rnacentral:rRNA from 1 species
AUUGAACGCUGGCGGCAGGCCUAACACAUGCAAGUCGAACGGUAACAGGAAGAAGCUUGCUUCUUUGCUGACGAGUGGCGGACGGGUGAGUAAUGUCUGGGAAACUGCCUGAUGGAGGGGGAUAACUACUGGAAACGGUAGCUAAUACCGCAUAACGUCGCAAGACCAAAGAGGGGGACCUUCGGGCCUCUUGCCAUCGGAUGUGCCCAGAUGGGAUUAGCUAGUAGGUGGGGUAACGGCUCACCUAGGCGACGAUCCCUAGCUGGUCUGAGAGGAUGACCGGCCACACUGGAACUGAGACACGGUCCAGACUCCUACGGGAGGCAGCAGUGGGGAAUAUUGCACAAUGGGCGAAAGCCUGAUGCAGCCAUGCCGCGUGUAUGAAGAAGGCCUUCGGGUUGUAAAGUACUUUCAGCGGGGAGGAAGGGAGUAAAGUUAAUACCUUUGCUCAUUGACGUUACCCGAAGAAGAAGCACCGGCUAACUCCGUG